rnacentral:tRNA from 1 species
GGGGUUAUGGCUUAGUGGUAGAGUGCUUGUCUCACAUGCAUGGGGCACUGGGUUCAAUCCUCAGUACCACA